rnacentral:piRNA from 1 species
GGAGACAAAGUUCUGCUGACUGAUAG